UGCCAAGGUCGCAUAACCCUCAGCGCCCGGAACAUCAACUGGAGGAGCUCCUGACACUUUCAGGCAACAUGGGUUGCAGAAAAGGUCGGACGCCUUGGAGAAAGCCAAUGUUUUCCAUAGAUUGGAACUGCCACUAUGCUGUCCUGCAAGACUUGUCGAAGACCGACAACAGGGGUAGAGGGAUGUCAUCGACUUUUUUCCGCGAAUUUUGGUGCUAACCAUUCGACCAUUUGGAAGAUCAUCGAGGCAUUGCAAAGAAGUGAAAUGAGAAUGGAGCAGCAACUUCUGGGGUACCACCGCCAUGGCAAAGACCCCAUUACCACAAGAAACAGAAGGAUCUGAAGUCACUGGCAUCUUUCCAAGCUGGAGUGAGUAGCUUGGCAAAAUGUGAGUAUCUCCUUAAAAAAAGUACAACCACUAGCAUAUUAUUUACCUACUUUUCAGCACAAGAAUAGCAAGGACAUUAGCCACUAUGUUAGCUGGUUAGCACCGCACACACUCCAUGUUAAAAUGGUCAUUUGAUUAAAUUAAGCAAGAAAAACAUUUGGCUACGUUUAGCAAAUAUUAUUUUACUAUAUCAAUUUGAAUGGGAUUACUUGUGCUAUUCUGCUAUGUGUACUGUAGUAUAAUUGUAGCUAAGCUUGCUGUUAUCAUGCUUUUAAAUAGUACCGCUCUUGCUAGCAGCACACAUGGCUCCAAAUUGCAGACAUGCUGACUAACUUUGUUUGAUAACCUGUAUAACAGUAGCUAGCAACAAAAGGCAACUGUAGCUAUGCUUGUAGUUACAAUUACUAUUAUAAUGGGUGGUAAUGAGCAGUUAUCAGUUUAUUUUACUAUUUGUGGUUGUAUUCAGUAACUUGCUAGCCAAACAUCAGAUAUAGUAGGCAUGUGUAGCUAAGUAAAUUCUCCAGGGUAUGUUGUGGCAUUUAGCUAGGAUGCUGUUAGCUAGCAUCGCACUAUCUAGCAUGGUGUUAGCUAGCAUAGUGUUUGUUAGGACCGUUAAGACACGUGGCCGAAUUUGCACAUGUGCUGGUUAGUUAAAAGUGCAUUUAUUAAGCAUGGCGCUAGAUGGCACCUGGUCGGAAUGUGCUGAUAAGAGUUGCUUGUUGGCUAGCUUGGAAAUAGUUUGAUAACCUGCAUAACAGUACAAAGGAAAGAUGUUUGCUAGCCAUGCUUUUAGUUAGUUUUGGGUUUUAAACGCUCAUUUUUUUCCAAAAAUAUAUUAUUUAUUAAAACCUAAGAAUAUUCCAAUGAUUUGAAUUAAUUAGCCUAAUCUUGCAAGUAUUAAUGUUGGCAUACUUUGUUAGUUUACAAUUGUUAGUUUGGGUGUAUUGUUGGAUCCUGUAUUUUACAUUAUAGCCAUUACAUUACUAAUAUGAUUGAAUAUCAUCUGCUGUUGGCUUGUGUGGAUGUAUGUAUGUAUGUAUGUAUGUAUGUAUGUAUGUAUGUAUGUAUGUGUUAUGCAACAUAGCUGACUUGAAACAUUGUUAAAAGUUUCAAGGCCAUGGGCCUUUCCCAUGAUGGAAAAGUAGCAUGAAGAAAGGCACUGUUCAAUGAGUUGGGAGGGGGGCACAUUCAGAGCAGGGUGUUGCGAGAACAAGCUGUCCUUUGUUAGAUAACAGGAGCCAGGUGCGAGAUAACGGUAUGGAGCAUGAGAGCCUGGAUGUUCUUCACAAGCAAGUUACAGCUAUCAACAGAAGCGUCAAGAGGCGGGGACCCGCCUGAGCGCCUGCAAUAGGCUGAGCAAGUUUAAACCACGCCCAGUCUCUACUGUGCUAGGCCAACAGACAGGUUUAUGUAAACAUUAUUUUUUUAGAUGAUUGGAAAUCCAAAAGUAUUAUUCUUCAAUGGAUGAAGUGGAACUAAGAAAGGAGAUUGUGGAAGAUGAGCCCCUUGUGAUUGACAUCAAAUCUAGAUGGCCAGCGCUGUUCACAGACAGAAAAUACCAGGUCCCUUUGAAGAUGCUGGUGGUGAUUGAGGCAGACCAACAGUGGAUGAAGUACAGGGGUUCUGUGGUAGCUGGAAGGCCACCAGUCAUUUCACCCCUCCUGGACCUGCUGUUUGCUUUGACGAGUCCCAGUCUGGAGUGCAACGCCCCUAGCCAUUUCCAACUGAGGCAGAGUGCUCCAAGUUGUUUCUGACAGAGGAGCUGGUGGGAAACAUAGUAGAGGAGACCAAUCGCCAUGUCUUGGAGCUACAGGAGAAGAGAGAGCCAGGAGUGAGGGGGAAACUCGCUAAAUGGGUGACAACUACAAUUAGUGAAAUGUAUACCUUCUUAUGGAAAGGUAGGAUGGCGUUCCGUCAAUAUAUUCCCUCCAAAAGGCAAAGUUUUGGAGUCAAGUUCUUUGUCAUGUGUGACGUGAAGACAGGAUUUGUCCAGGAUAUUAUAGUUUACACAGGGUCCACCACUGACAUCAAACAUUAUGAGGGGCUUGGGGUGUCAGGGUCCGUGGUGAUGACCAUGCUGGCUCCUCAUCUCGGCAAGGGACACACUUUGUACGUGGACAAUUGGUAUAGCAGUCCCACACUCUUGGAAUGCACUCGGAAAAGUACCAAGUAAUAUACGAAGAUAUUUUUCCAUCUGAUCGACACUGUUGUCCUCAACGGCAGUAUAGUUCACCGCCAACUAACAGGUAAAGUAAUUACCUACCAAAAAUACAGAGAACCUCAUGAGAGAGCUGCUGGAGGAGCACACGGAGGCAUUGCAAAGUCUGCCUGUCUGGCGCCAGGAGAAGUUGCUCUGGAGUUCAUGAGACUGACUUGUGUCUGUGGACCUCAAGAAGACAUUUUAUGAAGGCCUGGACAGUCUUGACAAAGACAGUUCCAAUCAAAGGAAGAGAAACGCUGUGCUCCGAGGCUUGCCAUACUUCCUGCGAGAAGACCCUACCAAUGUUUUGAAGACGUGAGAAGACAACUGAUUCUGAGGAAGGCACCCGCGGAGUGAAAAUCGGUCGUUGUGGAUGGAGCUGAAGCAGGUGACCCAAUGCCAGUUUACAAUGUGGAUAUUGCCCUUGUGAUGGAAGAGCAGGUGAUCGUACAUGAGCUUCACAAUGUCCCAAAUGCCUUUGCCACUUUGAUUGGUUCUUUAAUGUCUGAAUAUGGAUUACUCAAAAUGUUUGAGGUCUACUUUUGAGGUAGUUCAGAAAAUAUUAUUGAAGAUUGGUGCAGAAAACUACAGCAAAGGUCCAUAGGCUGAACCGUCUUCUUCGUUAAGACAGCUAAUUAGUGUGUAUUUGUUUUACUCGCAGUAGUUGAGUUCAUUCCUCGGACAACAAUGCUGUUAUUUGCCUAAAUCUUACAAAUCUCAGUUUUGGGAAGACUUAAGUUAACCUAUUUUUGUGUGACCUUCAGUCUACAAACUGAAGGUCAAAAAAGUGCAUUCUGAAAAUGUUUACAGCAUGUUAGAAUUUUUCACACUCAACACCAACUUGUCAUAUAACCCGUUCUGAAGGUUGUCAUUUCUCAGUGUUUAAAUUUUUAUUUACUGUGCCAUAACCAUGUUUCAAUGGUUCCAUUUACAAGUGUAUGGGUUUCCUGGACAGUGAAAAAAAAAGUUUGACAAAACAUUUAUCUUUAUAAAAAAAAAUCUUAGCUGAUAUUGGUUAAGACCAAUUAGUGACAGCAGAAUUUGGAUUCCUAUUUAAAUGCACCCAAAGACAUGCACCUAAAAACAUGCAUUGUUAGAUUUUUUUUUUCUCAUGACAAUCAAUGCGUUCCAGGGAGCAAUACAUCAUUGCAAAUGUAUUUGUUUGUUAAUACAUAGUGUAAUAAAUGUUCUGAAAUACACAACUAUUUUGUUGUCAUUACAAGCUAGAUGGAAUUCAUUGAUUUCAAUGUAAGUUGUUGAAUCUGUCAAUGAACUCUUGAUAGUAAAUCAAUCAUUGUAAAUAUAAAGCCAUUUUAAAAUGGAGAUCAGCUUUACUAAAUCUGAACUUUGUUCAACUGUACAUACUGGGUUAUUUUAAGUUUACAUAUUUUAUUAAAGUCAUUUUGUUGAGUUAGAACAGUGGUUCUCUACUUGCAGCCUGUGGCAAGCUUGUCUGUUAUAUCAUUAAUAGUAUAGUUAUUUAUUUGUGACCUGCUUGACUUGCUCGUAGUCAGUGUAGCACCACCAGCCAAACAGGUUGAGAACUGUUACAAUAACUCAAUGAAGUAGGCUUGACUUGAAUUGUUAAGUCUUUUAAAUGUGCCUUUAGAUCAGAUGACUCAUACUUUUAAUGUUUCAACUUGUUAUUUCUAGUUGCGUGGCCUUUUUCAAGCUCAGAGCACUUAACAUGUCACAUGCCUAGCUCAGACAAUUUUAUGUCAACUUUAAAUCUAGUUAUCAUAUCUGUUACUAGUUAUGAUAACUUUAUUAAAAGUUGACAUUACAAAAUUGGAAAAAGUUUAAACUCAGAAUAGUAAGUUAUAAUGGCAAAUGGUUAACUAUUUUAUAAAUGAAAUUAAAUGGCUUUAGUUCAGAUAACUAGCUUUAAGAUUGUUUCAACUUGUUAUUUCCAGUCAUCUAGUUGCGUGGCCUUUUUCAUGCUCAGAGCACUUAACAUGUCUCGUUA